GAAAAGAAAGCAUAGAUAAUGCAAUCGCCUUGAAAGCCCUAAGACAAGAAUACAACACACUUUCUUUUCG
rnacentral:tRNA from 1 species